ACAUGCAGAGAACUUUCCAGAGAUGGAUUGGUGGCCUUCGGGAACGUCUGACACAGGUGCUGCAUGGCUGUCGUCAGCCCGUGUCGUGAGAUGUUGGGUUAAGUCCCGUAACGAGCGCAACCCUUGUCCUUAGUUACCAGCACGUUAUGGUGGGCACUCUAAGGAGACUGCCGGUGACAAACCGGAGGAAGGUGGGGAUGACGUCAAGUCAUCAUGGCCCUUACGGCCUGGGCUACACACGUGCUACAAUGGUCGGUACAAAGGGUUGCCAAGCCGCGAGGUGGAGCUAAUCCCAUAAAACCGAUCGUAGUCCGGAUCGCAGUCUGCAACUCGACUGCGUGAAGUCGGAAUCGCUAGUAAUCGUGAAUCAGAAUGUCACGGUGAAUACGUUCCCGGGCCUU
rnacentral:rRNA from 1 species